AUUGAACGCUAGCGGGAUGCUUUACACCUGCAAGUCGAACGAGUGGCGGACGGGUGAGUAAUAUAUCGGAACGUGCCCAGUAGCGGGAGAUAACUACUCGACAUAGUGGCUAAUACCGCAUACUCUUUGAGCGGCCGAUAUGGGAUUAGCUAGUUGUUGGGGUAAAGGCUCACCAAGGCCACGAUCAGUAGCUGGUUUGAGAGGACGACCAGCCACACUGGGACUGAGACACGGCCCAGAAUCGUACGGGAGGCAGCAGUGGGGAAUUUUGGACAAUGGGGGCAACCCUGAUCCAGCCAUCCCGCGUGUAUGAGAAGGCCUUCGGGUUGUAAAGUACUUUUGGCAGAGAAGCGGUAUCUGUAGAAUAAGCACCGGCUAACUACGUGCCAGCAGCCGCGGUAAUAC
rnacentral:rRNA from 1 species